rnacentral:rRNA from 1 species
GACAGAGGUGCCGAGCGUUAGGCGGAAUCACUGGGCUUAAAGCGUGUGUAGGCGGACUUCUAAGUACCUUGUGAAAUCCCACGGCUCAACCGUGGAACUGCUUGGUAUACUGGUUGUCUUGAGCCACUUAGGGGCAGUCGGAACAGACGGUGGAGCGGUGAAAUGCGUAGAUAUCGUCUGGAACGCCAACGGUGAAAACAGACUGCUGGGAAUGUGCCGACGCUGAGACACGAAAGCCAGGGGAGCAAACGGG